UAGUCCACGCCGUAAACGAUGUGUGCUAGUUGUUGGAUCUUCGGAUUCAGUGACGGAGCGAAAGUUUUAAGCACACCGCCUGGGGAGUACGGUCGCAAGACUAAAACUCAAAGGAAUUGACGGGGACCCGCACAAGCGGUGGAGCAUGUUGUUUAAUUCGAUGAUACGCGAGGAACCUUACCAGGGCUUAAAUGUACGUUGCAUGAUUUAGAGAUAGAUCUUUCUUCGGACUACGUACAAGGUGCUGCAUGGUUGUCGUCAGCUCGUGCCGUGAGGUGUCAGGUUAAGUCCUAUAACGAGCGCAACCCCUAUCGUUAGUUGCCAACAGGUUAAGCUGGGAACUCUAACGAGACUGCCGGUGCAAACCGCGAGGAAGGUGGGAUGACGUCAAAUCAUCACGGCCCUUACGUCCUGGGGCCACACACGU
rnacentral:rRNA from 1 species